rnacentral:rRNA from 1 species
UAUAAUGCAGUCGAGCGAACAGAAGGGAGCUUGCUCCCGGAUGUUAGCGGCGGACGGGUGAGUAACACGUGGGUAACCUGCCUGUAAGACUGGGAUAACUCCGGGAAACCGGAGCUAAUACCGGAUAGUUCCUUGAACCGCAUGGUUCAAGGAUGAAAGACGGUUUCGGCUGUCACUUACAGAUGGACCCGCGGCGCAUUAGCUAGUUGGUGGGGUAAUGGCUCACCAAGGCGACGAUGCGUAGCCGACCUGAGAGGGUGAUCGGCCACACUGGGACUGAGACACGGCCCAGACUCCUACGGGAGGCAGCAGUAGGGAAUCUUCCGCAAUGGACGAAAGUCUGACGGAGCAACGCCGCGUGAGUGAUGAAGGUUUUCGGAUCGUAAAGCUCUGUUGUUAGGGAAGAACAAGUGCGAGAGUAACUGCUCGCACCUUGACGGUACCUAACCAGAAAGCCACGGCUAACUACGUGCCAGCAGCCGCGGUAAUACGUAGGUGGCAAGCGUUGUCCGGAAUUAUUGGGCGUAAAGGGCUCGCAGGCGGUUUCUUAAGUCUGAUGUGAAAGCCCCCGGCUCAACCGGGGAGGGUCAUUGGAAACUGGGAAACUUGAGUGCAGAAGAGGAGAGUGGAAUUCCACGUGUAGCGGUGAAAUGCGUAGAGAUGUGGAGGAACACCAGUGGCGAAGGCGACUCUCUGGUCUGUAACUGACGCUGAGGAGCGAAAGCGUGGGGAGCGAACAGGAUUAGAUACCCUGGUAGUCCACGCCGUAAACGAUGAGUGCUAAGUGUUAGGGGGUUUCC